rnacentral:rRNA from 1 species
AUUGAACGCUGGCGGCAUGCCUUACACAUGCAAGUCGAACGGUAACGCGGGGCAACCUGGCGACGAGUGGCGAACGGGUGAGUAAUGUAUCGGAACGUGCCAAGGUGUGGGGGAUAACUGCUCGAAAGAGCAGCUAAUACCGCAUACGACCUGAGGGUGAAAGCGGGGGAUCGCAAUACCUCGCGCAAUUGGACAGGACGAUAUCGGAUUAGGUAGGUGGUGGGGUAAAGGCUCACCAAGCCAACGAUCUGUAGCUGGUCUGAGAGGACGACCAGCCACACUGGGACUGAGACACGGCCCAGACUCCUACGGGAGGCAGCAGUGGGGAAUUUUGGACAAUGGACGCAAGUCUGAUCCAGCCAUGCCGCGUGCGGGAAGAAGGCCUUCGGGUUGUAAACCGCUUUUGUCAGGGAAGAAACGCGCUGGGUUAAUACCUCGGGGUAAUGACGGUACCUGAAGAAUAAGCACCGGCUAACUACGUGCCAGCCGCCGCAGUUAACAC